rnacentral:rRNA from 1 species
CGGAGGGUGCAAGCGUUAUCCGGAUUCACUGGGUUUAAAGGGUGCGUAGGUGGGUUGGUAAGUCAGUGGUGAAAUCUCCGAGCUUAACUUGGAAACUGCCAUUGAUACUAUCAAUCUUGAAUACCGUGGAGAUGAGCGGAAUAUGUCAUGUAGCGGUGAAAUGCUUAGAUAUGACAUAGAACACCAAUUGCGAAGGCAGCUCGUUACACGAAUAUUGACACUCAGGCACGAAAGCGUGGGGAUCAAACAGGAUUAGAUACCCUGGUAGUCCACGCCCUAAACGAUGGAUACUCGACAUUUGCGAUACACAGCAAGUGUCUGAGCGAAAGCAUUAAGUAUCCCACCUGGGAAGUACGAUCGCAAGAUCG